UACGGAGGGGGUUAGCGUUGUUCGGAAUCAUUGGGUUUAAAGGGUCCGUAGGCGGGUCUUUAAGUCAGUGGUGAAAGCCGACAGCUCAACUGUCGAACUGCCAUUGAUACUGGAGACCUUGAGUACAAAUGAAGUAGGCGGAAUGAGUCAUGUAGCGGUGAAAUGCAUAGAUAUGACUCAGAACACCGAUUGCGAAGGCAGCUUACUAACAUGUAACUGACGCUGAGGGACGAAAGCGUGGGGAGCGAACAGG
rnacentral:rRNA from 1 species